rnacentral:rRNA from 1 species
GACGUAGGGGGCCAGCGUUGUUCGGAAUUACUGGGCGUAAAGGGCUCGUAGGCGGCCAACUAAGUCAUACGUGAAAUCCCUCAGCUUAACUGGGGAACUGCGUGUGAUACUGGAUGGCUUGGAUUUGGGAGAGGGAUGCAGAAUUCCAGGUGUAGCGGUGAAAUGCGUAGAUAUCUGGAGGAAUACCGGUGGCGAAGGCGGCAUCCUGGACCGGCAUUGACGCUGAGGAGCGAAAGCCAGGGGAGCAAACGGG